rnacentral:misc_RNA from 1 species
AACGCACAUUGCGCCCUCUGGUAUUCCGGAGGGCAUGCCUGUUCGAGCGUCAUUAUGACCAAUCAAGCACUGCUUGGUAUUGGGGCCCGCUGUACCGGCGGCCCUUAAAAACAGUGGCGGUGCCGUCUGGCUCUCAGCGUAGUAAUUUUUCUCGCUAUUGGGCCCGGUGGUUACUUGCCAAAACCCCCAACUUUCUUAGGUUGACCUCGGAUCAGGUAGGGAUACCCGCUGAACUUAA